AUGAGCUUCGCUCAAGAGCAUAGCUCAUUCCAAAACAAUUACUCACAUGGGUGGCCUAAAAACCCGAAUAUGUCAUAUAGGAGCAACAACCCUGAGAUCUUACCGUUUGCUUCUAGUAAUCAUAUGCAGGGAUUUAGGUAUGAAGAGGAGAGACACAACUAUGCUCCACAACAGUCUUAUUCAACUCCUAUUCAUAUACCUCAGCACCAGGAGAUGUUGCCAAUGGAGUUAAAUGGUCCUCCAUUUGGUCAACCAACACCUUCAACACAAGUGCCUACUCAAGAUGAGUUCGAUGACAUAGACAAGCUCGCACUUUUGAGUCUCGAGUUCACUUGGAGUGCCGAGGAUGAUCCUAUUAGGAAGGUUAUACUAGAUAAAUGA
rnacentral:rRNA from 1 species